GGCCGCGGCCUCGCGAGCCAAGCCCGGGGCGCCCCGCCUCGGCCGGAGCCGGGAGGAGGGCCGCCGUCGCCCCCCACCCGCCGCCGCGAGCCUCCCCGGCCCGGGCGGCCCACACGUCCCGACCUCGGGACCGACCCCGUGCCGCGGCCCGUAGCUCGCUCACCCCACCCACGGACGUCCGGCUGCGGGGUCCGCGAGCGCCCGGGUAGGGGCGCCUGCGCGCCAGGGCGUGUCACAGCCUGUGCUUAGCAGUUAGCCUGCGCUCCAGCAUUGCUCUUGGGGGCCGUUUUCAACAGCGAAAUCCCCAACAAAGAAGACAAAAAUGCGGAAAGUGGCACUGAACAGACCAGGAAACAAGAAGGCAGAGCAGGACGCCGCCCGGUCCCAUGGAUCAGGCGAUUCACGGGUUCCACCCCUUUGCCACAUGACCACAAGAGGAGCUGCAGGCACUGAUUUAUGGACCCAAAUAAAUCUUAGCAGAGAUCCCCAAGGAGCACCUCGGGCUGCCAGAUCCAUGAUUUCAUGACUUCUUAGAACAGCCGGAUCCAUGAUUGCAAGUCAGGAGCUUAGGAAUGAGGACUGCUGCGGUUCUGGAGGUCUGAGCCAGUCAGGAUCUCUCUGUCAGAGGCACAGGCCGAGUAGGGAACAUGGAGCUAUCAUCAGGAAAUCCACUACUGCGGCCCAGAAUCGGCCACAAACCGGGGGGUUCUAGGCAAAUCGCUUCACCUCUCUGAGCACCAGCUUUCUCCAUUAUAUUGUGGACAACAGGUCCUUCCACUGUCACCUCCAGGAUUGUCUUCAUACUCUGCUUGUAUAAUAGAGCAACACCUUCCCCAUCUAGAACUCAGCUGUAGCAGUCUCUGUGGGUCUAACCACAGCCAGAAAAGAAAAGGCCUCUGAACAUCCACCUGACGUCAGAUUUAAGCAUAUCGCAUGCGAGCAAACACUUAGGUCUCGCUCGACUAUUGACUCUUUCUCUGCACAUAGUUCUAGUUUUCAAGAGUAACUUAGAGCUAUAAAUUUGAAAGGAAAAGAAAGCCUGCUAAGAAAAGAGAUACAAACAAAGUCACUACAGAAAAACCGUAAAAGGCACAAAAGAAGUGAAAAAGGCACCAUAGUCAGGGACCGUGUUGUUCCCCCUCGGAAGGCUCGAGAAAAUCACUAUGUCGUGGCACUGUCCUGUGUCCACGAGUCCAGAUUAUUUAUAAAUGCGUUUGUUCAUUAGCUUCUGUACUUCCGGAUGUGCAGAAGUACAUGUAACGUUUUAGAAAGAGAUUCACUCCCAAAAGGGUUCAAUUUAUGAAAAAGAAAACAAAACCAAGCAAUAUAUAUUCCUUUACCUCUUUGCUCUCAGCCUUCUGAAAAAUUCACAUCUCGAACAUCACCUCUGGCAACUCUUGGAGACCAACGUCUUAUUCCAGCAUUGAUCAAUUUGCCCC